rnacentral:rRNA from 1 species
GACAGAGGGGGCAAGCGUUGCUCGGACUUACUGGGCGUAAAGGGCGCGUAGGCGGCCUGGCAAGUCGGUCGUGAAAUCCUUCGGCUCAACCGGAGAACGUCGAUCGAAACUGCCGUUCUUGAGGAUUGCAGAGGAGACUGGAAUUCCCGGUGUAGCGGUGAAAUGUGUAGAGAUCGGGAGGAACACCGGUGGCGAAGGCGGGUCUCUGGGCAAUUCCUGACGCUGAGGCGCGAAAGCGUGGGGAGCAAACGGG